CCAAGCGGUUUAAUUUCUGGAGAUGGUGAACCUGAGAGGUUCUGCUGGGAGACAACAAAGAUAAUGAAGAGUUGAACCAGAGCCCGGUGAAUAUCAGCACUGGGACCAGUUAGCAGAGGAAAAGGGAAGAAUAAAAGGGAAAAGAAUGAAGAGUCAUAUGAUUACCAACUUUUCCUUUUUCAUAUAAAUUGAGUGUAUAUGGGUCUGGAACAACCUGAAUUUCCAUCAAGUCCUGGCUAACCUCAUUAUGUCCUAUGAAUAUUUUUGACUAAUCCCACUUUACAUUAAUCUGUAUUAUGAAUGCGGAUAUUGAAUUAUAUUUCUUUGUAAUCCCAUUAUCUAAAAUCCAGUUCAGAGACUAUUAGUUACCAAUGUUCACUGUGAAGGAAAAAUAAAAUAAAAUAAAAGCUCAGAGGAUAAACAUGUGAUAUGGUUUGGCUGCGUCCCCACCCAAAUAUCAUCUUGAAUUGUAGCUCCCAUAAUUCCCAUGUGUUGUGGGAGGGACCUGGUGGGAGAUAAUUGUAUCAUGGGGGUGGUUCCCCCAUACUAUUCUUGUAGUAGUGAAUAAGUCUCACAAAAUCUGAUGGUUUUAUGAGGGGAAACCCCUUUCACUUGGCUCUCAUUCUCUUCUCUGGUCUGUCGUCAUGUGAGACAUGCCUUUCACCUUCUCCACCAUGAUUGUGAGGCCUCCCCAGCCACGUGGAACUGUGAGCCCAUUAAACCUCUUGCACUUAUAAAU
rnacentral:lncRNA from 1 species